ensembl:lncRNA novel transcript
CACUAUCACGAGAACAGCAUGGGAGAAACCGCCCCCCAUGAUCCAAUCACCCGCUACCAAGCCCUCUCCCUUGACACAUGGGGAUUACAAUUCAAGAUGAGAUUUGGGUGGAGACGCAGCCAAACCAUAACACUCAGAAUGUUUAACAGGGAGGAACCCUAUCUUCUGGGAGCUGCAAAAUAUGCUUGCACCAAAAAGUAAGCCAAGGAAACAGGGAACGAAGUAAAAAACCAAGCACGUUUCAUGUGCCUGUGAGAUGCCUGGAUUCUUCAAGAUGGCGAGACCCAAGGAAAGAAAGGUCAAGUUGUCGGCAAGUCACCUCAGGACUUUUCUGGCUACUUUAUGGAAAUAAAAUCCUGAGGCUGGCCCGUUAGGGAACUACUAAAAUUGUCCAAAUAAGAAAUGAUAGAGUGUUGGAUCAAAAGGCUUCAGAGUUCUACAUCGUAUCCUACUUACAGCCCUAAAUACCUGUUAACUGCCACCCCCUGGACAGAUUAUUACAGUGACAACAGAAAUAUAAGUCACAUAAGGAGCUGCUGAAUGCACUCAAGACUCAACAAUCUCCAAAGAUACUGGAAGGCACGAAUGGAAAUCUGGACUCUGACAACUGUCCUUAGCAUGUUAUCUUUUACGCCAAUGCUGGCCAAAGAGAAGGACUUAAAACGUUGUACUGAUCCUUACAAGAACUUAGUUUCCACUGUUUCUUUCCACUACUUUUGCUAAAUUCAAAUUGACCAACCAAUAGCUGCUUAACUAGGACCACACCUUGCUCUUCCUGCAUCUUAUCCCAUGAGCAACACGAUUUCAGUUUCCCCAUAAUUUCCAAGAACUUGCCAGUGAAUAAUUCUCGGAAUAAAACUGAACUAUGACUGUGAAACUGCCUUUGCAAAAAUCAUAACUGAGAAAAGAAGGUAAAAGAGAUGUGUCCUAACUGCCUUCAUCUUUCUUUUAACCUCCAAGCUGUCUUAUUCAUUGCUGGUGUAGGCUAAACUAAUUUUGGAAGAAACUUAGUUUAUGAUUUAACUUUGAAACCAAGAUAAUAGCAGCCCUUUCCCUAAACAAACCCCCUUCCUGCCUACAGCCUAGACUGGCUUUGCAGGAUUAACAAAAUAGCCACAAAAUUAGAAAUUAUGGCUUAGGAGUCAUGCAGCUGGAGGGUACAAGAAUCUGAACCUCUCCAAAUUGCUCCUGAGGAUAACAUCACUAUUGUAAAAUCUAAGAUCAGUGCUUCAGAUAUUUUGCAGACUCUGUGCUUAAAGGAUCAGCUGGCACUACCCAGGUCUUGAUAAACUGGCUCAGUUGGACUUGUGGCCUCUGCCUAGGAACUGAUUCAGCAUAAGAGGACAGCUUUGACUCCCUAUUAUUUUAUCUCUGACCUGAUCAAUCAGCACUGCCAACUUUCUGACCCCCUAUACACCAAAUUAUUCUUGAAAACCUCAGUCUCCAAGUUUUGGGAGAGACUGAUUUGAGUAAAACUCUGGUCCCCUGUACAGUCAGCUUUGCAUGAAUUAAACUCUUUCUCUAUUGCCAUUCCCCUGUCUAGAUAAAUCAGCUCUGUCUAGGCAGUGGGCAAGAUUAACCCACUGGGUUACAUGUGGCCUUUCCCAAUUCUAUCUUAUGAAAUAUUUAUCUACUUGGUCCCCAUAGUCAUCUUGAAAUGUGUUUCAUGUUGCAAUGUUUUAAUAAAGGCUUUAGCUAAUAUCUUUUGA